rnacentral:lncRNA from 13 species
UGUGGAACUACCAGUUAGAACAAGCCAUGAUUGCAACACUAUCUCAAAAGUUCAAGCAGCUUUAGACACAUAUGGUGUGAACCAGUGGAGGCUGCUGAGGGGAGUACGGCUCAUAAUAAUAGCUGGAACGGAGCAAAUGGAAUGGCAUCAAACACAUGGAAACUUCAGCCAUUACCUCGAGCCUGUCCUUCCCAAUUAAGGUGCCACCAACCUCCUGUGGUGUGAAUGAUGACAUUGAGUGAAAUCAAAUCUAAUGUAAUCAUAGCAACAUUCAAAGAAAAAAACGUUUUUUAAUGCUUUAAAGUAAUAAAAGCAAGCCUCCAAGAUUACUUAUUAACAAACUAAGGUACCCCAGUGUUCACGUUCCAGUACAAGAGGUCAGAGGAGGCUGGUGGGAGGAGCUUUAGGAUCAAUGUAAUGGCUGGAAUGGAAUCAAUGGAACAGAGUCAAACACGUUAUUUCCAGGUACCCUUCCAUUGUUUCCAUUGCAGCCAUUAACAUUGAGCCCCAUCCUCCUAUAGCUCCUCCCCAGCCUCCUCUGUACGAGGUUGUUUAGACUUUUCCCUCUGUGAGACAAUUAAUUCAACAUUUUUUAAGCAUCAACUCUUACUAGAUUAACCUUUGUGCAGAAAGCUAUGUGUGUGAAGUUAGAAGAGUAUUACAGUGUGUUAGCUUUGACAUGCACAAUAAAAACGGGUUCCUAUAUUAUACAGUCACUGCUGCAGGAACCAGUCCAUAAAUGGAACAAUCUCAACCUGGAAUCCAAGGUCAUGGCAAUUGUGGCAAAUUUUAGCAAAGAGUUGCCCAAAGGCCAACUAGACCCUUCAACUGAGUGACCUUGAACUCACUAACUGA